UGAAAAUUUCUGCUCGACGUUUCGGGGCGCCAUCUUGACUCGAAGUUUAGACAAGUACGUAUUAAAGUUGGCUUCAGAACGUCGUAUUUAUGCCACUUUUUCGAAAUAAAAUGGUUGAGUCAUUCAGAGAGACAGGUUAGUAUUAAAUUUAGCUAUAUUUUAAACGUUUGUGAGUUGUUUUAGUUAAGUUAUAGCUGUUGUUUGACAAACGUGCUAUAAAUUCAUUGAAUUACUUCGCUUCCCGUUCGAGCGCCUCGUUCCCGCUUACUCGCUUCAUUUCUUUAGUAUUUCUCAAACUUUUGCGGGUGAAUAAUGUUCAGAAUUACCUCUGCAUUACUUUAAAUCACUCAUAUUUGUUUUAUCUGCAGUUUUAGAGCGAAAAUUUGACGAGAAAGUUAACUGAUUCAAUCGCCGAACUGCCGAAGGCUUCGGUCGAAGCACGCGGUAAGCAUAACAAUGUCCAUUAAACUAAAGCUCGUGUUCCUUGUUUAUUACUGGUAUUUUAAACUUCCUUAUACAACUACAACUUUUUGGUAGCAUUUUCAAAAUGUUUUCUAAACUUUUUUAAAAAUAUGGUGGAAAUUUUUGUCCGUAAUUCGUAAAGCGAAAUGCCGCAUCCAUUUAUUUAAUACUUAGGGCUUUUGAAUUCGAGAUGAAUGCCUCUACUCGCCAUGUCCCUUGAAAGUAUGUUUUAAAUUAAUAUAUCUAAAUUCUUUUUUAUUGCAGCCUACAGCUCAAAACCCAUCAUCUAGAAAGCGAACGGCAAAGAAAAUCCAGUGAAAAACAAGUUGAAAAAGACCAUGAUUCCAUGAAAGGCAAUUACAAAUUAAAACAGAUAGACAAUUGUGACGGAGAUCUUUCGUUGGUGCCAAGUGCCAACUGCUGAACCGUAUGGCUAUCAAGCUCGCAAAGUAUCGACGUUGCGUCCGAUACAUUGGUCGAACACUAUAUCCAAUGCACAAUACCAAAGCCUGACAGUGAUGGAGCGGCCAGUGUGCCAAGUUUAAGUGGGAUGCAAAGAAUUUGUCAAGCCCCAACAGACGUUAUACCAUGCUCAGAGACUACCAAAUCGAGAUGCCCAACCAGUUAGCCACACCCCCAAAACAAAGACCACGCACAAAACUGAAGGAUGCCUACUAUUAGCCUAAAGAUUUCAGAUGUGUCGAAAGUACGUGGGGGCCACCCUGAGAACGCCCAAAUGCACAAAACAAAUUUAAACGUGGCAUAUUUUCAAUAAUUUCGAAACUUUAUUUCAAUUUUACACUUUUUUAGUAUUUGUGAGAAGCUCUUUAACGAAAUCAAAAAUUUUUGAAAUCCGAAAGGUUUUAUCUGGGAGUUUGUAUAUUUGAAAGAUAUUUGAAAUGAAAUUUUUGAAGUUUACAUCACUUUGGUAUUUAGUUUAAACGCUAGGUAAAAUCAUGCCAGAUGGGUGGCUGGCCAUUCGUCGAAGUUCGGUGACAUUUCGGCUCCGACUUUUCCCGACCUACAGACGAGUUGCUCCGAUCGACUGUCGUGAUCAACCAGCACAAAUGUAAGGCUUGGCCAACCUUGCGUUUGUGCUUUUUGUUUGUGGCAUGAGAUUGGACAGCUCGCCUGCAGGCCCGGCAAAAUCGGGCCGAAAUGCCGCCAACCUUUGAUUUGUGACCGGUUUUUUGUUUGUAUGGCUUUAUCCAGCGUUUUCUAGUUAUCAUUCUGAUGUCAAUUUCCGGACUUUGGCUCGAAUAUCUUUAAUAUAAA
rnacentral:lncRNA from 1 species